AAGGGAUGCAAAUCAAAUUUAAUUAAAUGGGAUUUAAUUUAAUUAGAUUUAGAUUUGAUUGGAUCAAACUCUAUUAGAUAAUAGGCUUGAUUGGAUCAAGCUCUAUUGAAUAAAAAGUACUUUCCACAUAUGGGGUUUUAAUCUAACUAACUUUCUAAUUGGAUUAGGUUCUAAUUGAUUUUCUAAUUGUGCUAGGAUCUAAUUAGUUAAUUUGUUAUAACUAAUUUCUAAGUUGGUUAGGAUUGGGUUCAAGAAUUAGUUAGAGUUGGACUAAGAAUCAUGAGUCCUAUUUAGACUAGGACUUAACUAACUCUUAACAACUCCAUAUGGCAUUAAAUCCUCCACGCCUCCUCUCCUUUCACCGUGAGAACCCACACCCCAACUAAGAGCCAUGCCCUCUCUUGUUUCUUCCAAAAAAAAUAGUGCCCCCUCUCUCCUUAUCACCAUUGGACGCCCUAUAUCCUCCUACAUGAAGCCCCU
rnacentral:lncRNA from 1 species